ACGGAAGGCAGCAGUGGGGAAUAUUGCACAAUGGGCGGAAGCCUGAUGCAGCGAUGCCGCGUGGAGGAAGAAGGUUUUCGGAUUGUAAACUCCUGAUCUGAGGGACGAUAAUGACGGUACCUCAGGAGAAAGCUCCGGCUAACUACGUGCCAGCAGCCGCGGUAAUACGUAGGGAGCGAGCGUUGUCCGGAAUUACUGGGUGUAAAGGGUGCGUAGGCGGGGCUGCAAGUCAGAUGUGAAAUGUAUGGGCUCAACCCAUGAACUGCAUUUGAAACUGUGGCUCUUGAGUGAGGUAGAGGUAAGCGGAAUUCCUAGUGUAGCGGUGAAAUGCGUAGAUAUUAGGAGGAACACCAGUGGCGAAGGCGGCUUGCUGGACGACAACUGACGCUGAGGCGCGAAAGCGUGGGGAGCAAACAGGAUUAGAUACCCUGGUA
rnacentral:rRNA from 1 species